AUUGAACGCUGGCGGCAGGCCUAACACAUGCAAGUCGAGCGGUAGCACAGAGAGCUUGCUCUCGGGUGACGAGCGGCGGACGGGUGAGUAAUGUCUGGGAAACUGCCUGAUGGAGGGGGAUAACUACUGGAAACGGUAGCUAAUACCGCAUAACGUCGCAAGACCAAAGUGGGGGACCUUCGGGCCUCAUGCCAUCAGAUGUGCCCAGAUGGGAUUAGCUAGUAGGUGGGGUAACGGCUCACCUAGGCGACGAUCCCUAGCUGGUCUGAGAGGAUGACCAGCCACACUGGAACCGAGACACGGUCCAGACUCCUACGGGAGGCAGCAGUGGGGAAUAUUGCACAAUGGGCGCAAGCCUGAUGCAGCCAUGCCGCGUGUGUGAAGAAGGCCUUCGGGUUGUAAAGCACUUUCAGCGGGGAAGAAGGCGGUGAGGUUAAUAACCUUGUCGAUUGACGUUACCCGCAGAAGAAGCACCGGCUAACUCCGUGCCAGCAGCCGCGGUAAUACGGAGGGUGCAAGCGUUAAUCGGAAUUACUGGGCGUAAAGCGCACGCAGGCGGUCUGUCAAGUCGGAUGUGAAAUCCCCGGGCUCAACCUGGGAACUGCAUUCGAAACUGGCAGGCUAGAGUCUUGUAGAGGGGGGUAGAAUUCCAGGUGUAGCGGUGAAAUGCGUAGAGAUCUGGAGGAAUACCGGUGGCGAAGGCGGCCCCCUGGACAAAGACUGACGCUCAGGUGCGAAAGCGUGGGGAGCAAACAGGAUUAGAUACCCUGGUAGUCCACGCCGUAAACGAUGUCGAUUUGGAGGUUGUGCCCUUGAGGCGUGGCUUCCGGAGCUAACGCGUUAAAUCGACCGCCUGGGGAGUACGGCCGCAAGGUUAAAACUCAAAUGAAUUGACGGGGGCCCGCACAAGCGGUGGAGCAUGUGGUUUAAUUCGAUGCAACGCGAAGAACCUUACCUGGUCUUGACAUCCACAGAACUUUCCAGAGAUGGAUUGGUGCCUUCGGGAACUGUGAGACAGGUGCUGCAUGGCUGUCGUCAGCUCGUGUUGUGAAAUGUUGGGUUAAGUCCCGCAACGAGCGCAACCCUUAUCCUUUGUUGCCAGCGGUUAGGCCGGGAACUCAAAGGAGACUGCCAGUGAUAAACUGGAGGAAGGUGGGGAUGACGUCAAGUCAUCAUGGCCCUUACGACCAGGGCUACACACGUGCUACAAUGGCAUAUACAAAGAGAAGCGACCUCGCGAGAGCAAGCGGACCUCAUAAAGUAUGUCGUAGUCCGGAUUGGAGUCUGCAACUCGACUCCAUGAAGUCGGAAUCGCUAGUAAUCGUAGAUCAGAAUGCUACGGUGAAUACGUUCCCGGGCCU
rnacentral:rRNA from 1 species